UUGAACGCUGGCGGCAGGCCUAACACAUGCAAGUCGAGCGGAUGAAGGGAGCUUGCUCCUGGAUUCAGCGGCGGACGGGUGAGUAAUGCCUAGGAAUCUGCCUGGUAGUGGGGGAUAACGUCCGGAAACGGGCGCUAAUACCGCAUACGUCCUGAGGGAGAAAGUGGGGGAUCUUCGGACCUCACGCUAUCAGAUGAGCCUAGGUCGGAUUAGCUAGUUGGUGGGGUAAAGGCCUACCAAGGCGACGAUCCGUAACUGGUCUGAGAGGAUGAUCAGUCACACUGGAACUGAGACACGGUCCAGACUCCUACGGGAGGCAGCAGUGGGGAAUAUUGAACAAUGGGCGAAAGCCUGAUCCAGCCAUGCCGCGUGUGUGAAGAAGGUCUUCGGAUUGUAAAGCACUUUAAGUUGGGAGGAAGGGCAGUAAGUUAAUACCUUGCUGUUUUGACGUUACCAACAGAAUAAGCACCGGCUAACUUCGUG
rnacentral:rRNA from 1 species